rfam:Arabidopsis lyrata subsp. lyrata unplaced genomic scaffold ARALYscaffold_6, whole genome shotgun sequence.
CGCUGGAGGCAGCGGUUCAUCGAUCAAUUCCUGUGAAUAUUUUUGUUUUCAAAAGCAUGAAUCGAUCGAUAAACCUCUGCAUCCAGC